UUGCUGUGGUAUUUUGACUAUACAAAGGUAUUGAAAUAAGGCUUUAAUUGAGUGCUAAGAGAAUGGUUUAACAUAGGUGGUCUUUUUUUUUCCUUUUGAUAGAAGUUAGUUUAAAAAUGAAAAAAUUUUUAUUUUUUAUUGGGACAAGAAGACCCUAUGAAUUUUUGAAAAAUAAUUUAAAGGUUCAUUUGUUAGGUUAUUUUUCUUGAUUGGGGUGAUUUUUCAAAAGUGUGAAUCUUGAGAAAAUUUUUAAUUGGAUCCAUUAUUAAUGAAAAUUUGAAAAAAAUACUCUAGGGAUAACAGCGUAAUAAUUUUGGAUAGUUCUUAUAGAUAAAGUAGUUUGCGACCUCGAUGUUGGAUUAAGAUACUUGUAUAAUGCAGGGGUUAUAAAGAGAAGUUUGCUCAACUUUUAAAUUCUUACAUGAU
rnacentral:rRNA from 1 species